rnacentral:rRNA from 1 species
AACGAACGCUGGCGGCAGGCUUAACACAUGCAAGUCGAACGCCCCGCAAGGGGAGUGGCAGACGGGUGAGUAACGCGUGGGAAUCUACCCAUCUCUGCGGAAUAGCUCCGGGAAACUGGAAUUAAUACCGCAUACGCCCUACGGGGGAAAGAUUUAUCGGGGAUGGGUGAGCCCGCGUUGGAUUAGCUAGUUGGUGGGGUAAAGGCCUACCAAGGCGACGAUCCAUAGCUGGUCUGAGAGGAUGAUCAGCCACAUUGGGACUGAGACACGGCCCAAACUCCUACGGGAGGCAGCAGUGGGGAAUAUUGGACAAUGGGCGCAAGCCUGAUCCAGCCAUGCCGCGUGAGUGAUGAAGGCCUUAGGGUUGUAAAGCUCUUUCACCGGUGAAGAUAAUGACGGUAACCGGAGAGGAAGCCCCGGCUAACUUCGUGCCAGCCGCCGCAGUAA